UCCUGCCACUCCCACACGGCUAUCAUGGGCUGGGACUGGCCAACGGAGCCGGACGGAGUCACUGCGGAGACAGAGGGCCCGUUCCUGGAGCCGUUCACCCGGGCACAGGAGCCAGACACAAUCGCCAUACCGGGCCUCGUGGAAGAAGUAGCUGUCAACGCACAGAAGAUUGGCUGCCAUGGAGCGUGUUUAACGGACGGAUGGUUAGAAGUAAUAAUGUGAGGAAUGAAGUCAACUCGAGGAGAUUACACAAAAAUGUUAUUAAACGCCUGCAGAAAGACAUCAUCUAACCAGAAGGCAAACUACAAGACAUGCAACGUGUACCUCCAUCAAGGCUGUGUGACGUGACCGACUGGCUCUGUGUCGCCUUGGAAACGCUCGAGACGGAAAGUGGCACGUAUUGCUUUGCAGAACACAGACUUUCUUACCUCCACCAAAGAGUGCUAUGGUGCGGAGCCACCCUCGCGCACACCCGAUACCCAUCUCUUCCUGACGACUGAAGCUCUCCUGUCCAUUCACUCAGCACUAGUAAAUGCCUGAUGAUUCACCCUUCCAGUCGCGUUCAUACUCUUUGCUCCGGCUCCACUCACGCCUUUCAUUCCUGUGGCUCUGCCGUGUCGUGUUUACUUAAUCCUCUAAACACCUUUUGUGUGCAUCCGAAAUUGUUUUUCUAACUCAUUUUUGAGUGCGCUUUUUGUUAUUAUUCCUAUUCGUUUUGAUCGUAGUUUCAGUACCCCUGCUCUGGAUGUUUGAACCUGCUGUGUAGUUGCCAGUAGGCUCGGCCAUUUUUCACUCCCUACGUCCGGCUAAAUAAAC